rnacentral:snRNA from 1 species
GUGUUCAGUAAUAUGUGGAGCACAUUAUACUAAAAUUGAAACAAUAUAGAGAAGAUUAGCAUGGCCCCUGUGCAAGGAUGACACAAACAUUUGUGAUAUGGUCCACAUUUCC